GCCUGGCAGGCUACAGCCCAAAGGGUCACAAAGAACUGGACACUAUUCACAAAGAACUUAGCACAGCAUAGCACAGCCCAUCUGCUCUUUCGUUCAACCUCUCAAUGCACAUUACUCAAAAGCCUUUAAGAACAUGAUGCUUAGCAACUGUUAUAUAAGUCAGGAGGGUGGGCUAGCAUUGUGCUUUUAGGACAAAUCAUCAUUUUCUAACAGAGAAAUAACCACAACUGAUAUUUAUUGAGCUGAAUAUAUUAUUUACUGAAUAUAUUCACUAAUGAAUUCUGUGACAUUCUAUGCCAAGCGUGUUACAAAUGAUACAAGUUCAUCUGAAGCCAGAGUGAGCUAAUUUGAUUAUAAUCCUCCGGAGCAAGAGUUAAGCAGGAAUUUGAGAAUGCAAAAAGAUCAGUCGCAACUUCAGCCAUGCACCUCUCUUCAAGCACAGCAAGGUCAGCACAUCUGCUCCAGUUCAGGGAGCUGUCACAUGGAGGAGGUGGAGACACAGACACACAGAAGGGGGUCCAGCCAUGCUGCAAGGAGGAAUCCCUUGCCUCUCAGUUUUGCUUUUUAGCAGCUCUCAUGAAUAUCCCAACCAAGACAGCAGGGGAAGAAUCCAGAGCCAGGCUCAGCUGUGAUGCAAGGCUUCUCUGAUUUCUAAAUCCAGGGCUUCUCAGGUUGGCAGCAGGGCUGGAUUAUCCAUCAGGCUCAGUCAGCUCUCUUCCUUUAAGCUACCACUUAUUAUGGGUUAGGUGUUUUACUUAUGUUGCCUCAUUAGCGUUCCUAAACAUUCUAUGCCAGAGGUGCUAUUAUUUUCAAUAUUUUAUAGGUGGAAAGACAGGCACAAAGAGGCUGAAGUCACCCAGGAAGGAAGCAUCAAGGCCAGGAUCUGUGCCCAGGUCAUCCCCAGCCUGCCAGUCUUGCUAUCCUGCCUCUACUGCGCUAGCCUGAAGACCUCACAGUUACUGAGGCCAUGCUGAGGCUUUGUUGACAGUCCCCCAAAAGAAAGGGGGCUAAACCUGCUGGUCCAACACAGAGAAUUGGAGCUGGAGUCUGCCUGCUGAGCACGCAGCAACAGAACUGGUCCUUCACGUCAUCGAAGAUUAGGUCCCUCCACCAAGAAGGCUGAGGCAAUCCACAAAGAGGAUUCUGUCUGUGGGGAAAGGGCACGGCAGGUGAUGGAGCAUGGCAGGAUGACCACCAGGGGCCUGCGGGCACUGAAUUGCCAGUCUGUGUUCACUGAAGAACAUCUAUGCACCAGUGUAUAGCAUUUGGAGGAGAGGCAAAGACUGCAGAAGAAAUGAGUGUCUGAGAAGACAAGGACGGACUUCAGUAGAAGAGGUUUAGGAAAAACAAUCAAAUCUUGGUGUUAAUGUUAUGGAGAGAUCAGGUAGGGCACUUCAGAAGUCUAUGAAAA